CUAUACAUGCAAGUCGAGCGGACCGACGGGAGCUUGCUCCCUUAGGUCAGCGGCGGACGGGUGAGUAACACGUGGGUAACCUGCCUGUAAGACUGGGAUAACUCCGGGAAACCGGGGCUAAUACCGGAUGCUUGAUUGAACCGCAUGGUUCAAUCAUAAAAGGUGGCUUUUAGCUACCACUUACAGAUGGACCCGCGGCGCAAUAGCUAGUUGGUGAGGUAACGGCUCACCAAGGCGACGAUGCGUAGCCGACCUGAGAGGGUGAUCGGCCACACUGGGACUGAAACACGGCCCAGACUCCUACGGGAGGCAGCAGUAGGGAAUCUUCCGCAAUGGACGAAAGUCUGACGGAACAACGCCGCGUGAGUGAUGAAGGUUUUCGGAUCGUAAAACUCUGUUGUUAGGGAAGAACAAGUACCGUUCGAAUAGGGCGGUACCUUGACGGUACCUAACCAGAAAGCCACGGCUAACUACCUGCCAGCAGCCGCGGUAAUACUAGGUGGCAAGCGUUGUCCGGAAUUAUUGGGCGUAAAGCGCGCGCAGGCGGUUUCUUAAGUCUGAUGUGAAAGCCCCCGGCUCAACCGGGGAGGGUCAUUGGAAACUGGGGAACUUGAGUGCAGAAGAAGAGAGUGGAAUUCCACGUGUAGCGGUGAAAUGCGUAGAGAUGUGGAGGAACACCAGUGGCGAAAGCGACUCUCUGGUCUGUAACUGACGCUGAAGCGCGAAAGCGUGGGGAGCGAACAGGAUUAGAUACCCUGGUAGUCCACGCCGUAAACGAUGAGUGCUAAGUGUUAGAGGGUUUCCGCCCUUUAGUGCUGCAGCAAACGCAUUAAGCACUCCGCCUGGGGAGUACGGUCGCAAGACUGAAACUCAAAGGAAUUGACGGGGGCCCGCACAAGCGGUGGAGCAUGUGGUUAAUUCGAAGCAACGCGAAAAACCUUACCAGGUCUUGACAUCUUCUGACAACCCUAGAGAUAGGGCUUCCCC
rnacentral:rRNA from 1 species